rnacentral:rRNA from 1 species
UGGGGAAUUUUGGACAAUGGGCGCAAGCCUGAUCCAGCCAUGCCGCGUGCGGGAAGAAGGCCUUCGGGUUGUAAACCGCUUUUGUCAGGGAAGAAAUCUUCUGAGUUAAUACCUCGGGAGGAUGACGGUACCUGAAGAAUAAGCACCGGCUAACUACGUGCCAGCAGCCGCGGUAAUACGUAGGGUGCAAGCGUUAAUCGGAAUUACUGGGCGUAAAGCGUGCGCAGGCGGUUUUGUAAGACAGAGGUGAAAUCCCCGGGUUCAACCUGGGAACUGCCUUUGUGACUGCAAGGCUUGAGUGCGGCAGAGGGGGAUGGAAUUCCGCGUGUAGCAGUGAAAUGCGUAGAUAUGCGGAGGAAACGCCGAUGGCGAAGGCAAUCCCCUGGGCCUGCACUGACGCUCAUGCACGAAAGCGUGGGGAGCAAAACAGGAUUAGAUACCCUGGUAGUCCACGCCCUAAACGAUGUCAACUGGUUGUUGGGAAGGUUCCUUCUCAGUAACGUAGCUAACGCGUGAAGUUGACCGCCUGGGGAGUACGGCCGCAAGGUUGAAACUCAAAGGAAUUGACGGGGUCAUAGCUGUUU